rnacentral:misc_RNA from 1 species
AAUGGACUUGCUGCUGUCACUUGGAUUUUUGCCGGCUCUCACGGAUGCAGUGCCUAGUGCUAGCUCUGUGUGACUUUGCCACGCAGACUUCGGGAGGUCCCCUGUACGAAUCAUUGCGAUGUGGACGCCGUUUGUCGUGUUGCUUGUUUGGCAUGCAAAUCGUAUUGUUCUGUCUGGAGUCGGGAUGACGAAGGGCAAGAAUGAAGUGCCCGAAGCGUGGUUGCGUACAUGCGGAAUGCCUCUCUGAUCGUAUGAGCAGCGAUUUCCGGCUCGCGUCCUGYGAAGGCCCGCCCGUUUGGGUUGGUGC